UACGUAGGGGGCGAGCGUUGUCCGGAAUCAUUGGGCGUAAAGCGCGUGUAGGCGGCCUUGCAAGUCGGGUGUGAAAGCCCUCAGCUCAACUGAGGAAGCGCGCCCGAAACUGCAGAGCUUGAGUACCGGAGAGGAUGGCGGAAUUCCCCAAGUAGAGGUGAAAUUCGUAGAUAUGGGGAGGAACACCGGUGGCGAAGGCGGCCAUCUGGACGGAUACUGACGCUGAGACGCGAAAGCGUGGGGAGCAAACAGG
rnacentral:rRNA from 1 species